UACGUAGGUGGCAAGCGUUGUCCGGAAUUAUUGGGCGUAAAGCGCGCGCAGGUGGUUCCUUAAGUCUGAUGUGAAAGCCCACGGCUCAACCGUGGAGGGUCAUUGGAAACUGGGGGACUUGAGUGCAGAAGAGGAAAGCGGAAUUCCACGUGUAGCGGUGAAAUGCGUAGAGAUGUGGAGGAACACCAGUGGCGAAGGCGGCUUUCUGGUCUGUAACUGACGCUGAGGCGCGAAAGCGUGGGGAGCAAACGGG
rnacentral:rRNA from 1 species